rnacentral:lncRNA from 1 species
AAUUUUAAUCCAAUAGAAGAUAAUUACAAUAUGCCUGAAUCGUCUCAUCACGGUGGUAAUGAAGUCGGACGUCUGAAUGGUGGAGGAAAAAGAUUUUCAACAACACAGGAAGGUUUUGAUAGCAGGAGACAAACUAGUAAUUUAUUGAUGAUGCCACCUGGUUUUGGUAAGAUAGGUGAAGCAAAUAAAAAUUAUGGUAUGAUUUAUCCAAAUUAUCUCUACCCAGACAAUUGUCGUCAAUGGACCAACCACAAUUACCAGCCCUAAGACAUUACAGAGUAGGAGGAAUCAAAUAUGAAUAAUUUUUCAGUUUUCGAUAAAAGAUAUUCUGAUAUUGGUGGAAGGUCUAGGAUAAAUGUGAUUAGUCUAAUUUAGUCAACUUGCGACUAAAUUAAUAUAAUACGAUCUAGGAUUUAAUUUUUUAUUUUUUUGCAUCAGCCAGCCUUCACAUAUUUUUCUCCAAUUCAGGAAUUUUAUUCUCAUCAAUCUAGCCUCCAAUUGUAUCCAAAAACUUCGAUCUGCCUAUCUCCAUUGCAUGUACACGUUGAGUAUACCACAUAUUGCCAGACAUAUUUUCAUUUACCAUACUUAACUGCAAAGGUUAUGUCAUUCGAUUAUAUGCAUGAUAGUUAAAUUAAUUAUAAAACAGGUGAUACCAGAUCUAGUACUGAGAGUACGACCAGCAAAAACGGUCUCAGAAGCCCUGAAAAGGCCUGACGUCUUGGAAUUUCAAGAAAGUUCGGAUAUCGCAAGCAGGCAUGGGCUCUCAACCAGGUCUAGAUUGGGAAAUUCUUCUCCUCUUUAUAGGCUCACAAUGGAGUUGAUUGUGAAUCAUACCAAAUCUAGGGAGUCGAUCGACGAUAAUCCUAGUCGAUCCUAGACUGUAGUCGAUUACCCUCAUGGACAGUCGGCUGUUGACUUGUCGGCCCCAACUCAUCGAUUGUCCCUUACCGAAUGACUGAAGUUGAUUCCGACUACCCAAACGAGCGAUCGUCCUAGGAAUGGUCUAUUUUACCAUCUAAAAAGGUGAAAUAACCAAACUACCCUCUGCGACUGAUCUCUUUCAGAGCAAAGAAGUGGUGUGUCCGACCAAAUAUCCAAACCUUCCAAUCCAAUCGUCUGGUAAUACUCUUGCAUUGUGUAUUCAGACGAUCGACUGGUUGGCACCAGUCGACUAACCAGUCGACUGACCAAUCCGCCGACAUGGCAGUUGUGUAGCUCAUUCAAUACUUUGCCUCUGAGAUUGGAAGUUGACCCCAAACAAAACUUUCUACGAUAAUAUAGAAUGCCUGUCCUAAUUUUAUAAUCUGGGUCAAAAAUAUCCACUCGUUCCCUUCUCCUUUAGUUCCCAGAUCCCUGAGUCAGUUUCAUUUUCUACCACCAUGCGAUCCGCUCAAUCUGACACCAAGAUACUCGUCAGUUCCUUCAAUUGAGAUGACUCAUUUUCGAAUUCCACUGUCGGCAGUCGGGAAAGCUCAUCGGCCGCCGAAGAUCAGGUCAACUUCUAUUACUAUUUUCAUUUUGUUGAUUUAGAUCUAGAUCAGAAAUAUGAUCUCGUAGCAUCUCUGAAUUCUGUUGGAGCAAUCUCCUUCUUUCAUCCCGUGCUUUCAUCGACAGGAAUUAUAACCUAUAAACUGGUGCUUUCAUCUCGUAUUACUCACUUAUUUUUCAGGAAAAGAUGACAGAGUCAUCGGAUUUGCAAAGCCAAUUAAUUCAACACUCUGAAAAAUUGCAAAUAUCUCUCAAGUUAAAAAAAUUACUGAGAUUCAAGAUCGAAUUAAGAAAAUUGGAAACAAAUUACAGGAAUCCAUGGAAAAGAAUAAGGAUGAAUUCAACAAGAUGAUCAGAUAAAUAUCCAAAGCUGUAGCAAAAAUCUCAAGGAAGAUAUCUACACGUAAACAUGCUGGAUUUGCAAAUACCUCUCAAACAAAGGUCCAGGAUGUGUUGUCUAGUGAUGAUGAAGAGGAGAAUUAUCUAGAUUGUCCAACCUAUAUAUGCUUCUGCAUUCUGUGAGGAUUCAGAUAAUCUAUUGUUAGAAAAUCUCAAGAUGGACAUGCCUCAGUUUGAUGGAACUGAUCCUCAGGAUUCAGAUUAGUUAUUUAAAUCCAGGAGAUUUUUCUUAUGUUAUAAAAAACCAUAAUAUCACAAGUUACUGUUAGCUUCCUUCUUCUUUUUACAUCAAAAACAUUUGCAGUAUUAGGAGGGAGGUUCGCUAGAUUAUAUCAGAUCUCUACUGUUACUGAGUAUAUGAAC